GUCUCGUGCUCGUUCGGACGAGUUCGUCGAGUGUUUCCGACGACGUAUACAAGGUGUCUUACAAGUCGCAUCGUAAAAUGGCUGAAGCUUUCUAAAAGGAUCUGACAGCGGGGAAGAGGAAUCGAUCCUUGAAAUUGAGGAUGCGCACGGAUCGAAUGAUCAAGGAGUUAAAACUAAAGAGAGAGGAUGACUGGCAUGACGACGACGGUGGAACAUCUUAACCACAAAGUGCAUCACGCUGUUGAGUGUUUUGAAUCGUUCUGUGCCAGUCUCCGUUACUCUUUCGGACGCAGCGCGGCAAUCUCAUCUCUAAAUGCAAAUAGAAGCUAUUACCGACGAUGUACUCGUUCUUAAUUUAUUCCAUAAUCGAGACAUUUCCAUGAGAUAUUCGCGUUUCUACCUACGCGCCGACGGAAAUAUCCUUUUCGGUGACGAGGUCAUCGAGUUGGUCCGCCAAGUAGAAGGGGAAGCCCUGGCAAGAGCGGAACAUGAUAGACACUGCGACACGAAUGGGAGAGCGGGAGAAAACGAGAGGCUUUUAAAAGGGGCAAUCGACUGUUCGGAGAGCUUCAAAGGAUUCCGCGGAUAUUGAAUAAUUCCAGAGCCUCCGAAAUUCGCCGCGUUAGUGGAGGAUGACGGCUGAAUAGUCGAGAAACGAAGUACGCCAUGGCUGAGAGAGCGAGAAUUAGUAAACGAGGCCUGAAACUGCCACAUUUUUCCGCGUCAGCUUACACAUAAGGUGACGUCUAGCUGAAGUUCUCCAUCAUCGUGGCCCAAUUUCAUACUUUUGGAUCAUGUGUACGGUGAUCAUUCGGGAUC